rnacentral:tmRNA from 1 species
GGGGCCGACCGGUUUUGACAGGUAGAGUGAUUACGUGUGUAAGCAUGCAGGCUCAUGGGAUGAGAGCCUUGAUCAAUAGUUCCACAACACAAUUGGCGAAUCUAAUUACGCCAUGGCCGCCUAAUCUCGACUCAGAUGUUGAGACCUGGGCUUAAUCGGUGAACUGCUUAGAGCAGCACCGGGCCACAUCCCGCUAACCGUUGUUUGGUCCGGUUAGAAUUGGGGUGUCGAACAGACUGAACUAGCGCUGGCAGGGUUGUGAUGCCGGUGUGAAACUCAUCGCAACUAAGGUUGGGUUCGGCUGUCGUUUGCCAGGCUCUUCCCGACAAUCUGAGAACGACUAAGCAUGUAGAAGAUACGAUAGUUACCUUCUCUGGACGAGGGUUCGAAUCCCUCCGGCUCCACGA